GGCUCAGAGGUUGAGAGCACUGGCUGCUCUUCCAGAGGUCCUGGGUUCAAUUCCCAG
rnacentral:tRNA from 1 species